rnacentral:rRNA from 1 species
UUCGGGGGUGAUGCCUGUGGAAUGAGCGGCGGACGGGUGAGUAACACGUGGGCAACCUGCCUGUAAGAUCGGAAUAACUCCGGGAAACCGGGGCUAAUGCCGGGUAAUCCUUUUUCUCGCAUGGGAGAGAGGUAAAAGAUGGCCUUUGGCUAUCACUUACAGAUGGGCCCGCGACGCAUUAGCUAGUUGGUGAGGUAAUAGCUCACCAAGGCGACGAUGCGUAGCCGACCUGAGAGGGUGAUCGGCCACACUGGGACUGAGACACGGCCCAGAYUCCUACGGGAGGCAGCAGUAGGGAAUCUUCCGCAAUGGACGAAAGUCUGACGGAGCAACGCCGCGUGAACGAUGAAGGUCUUCGGAUCGUAAAGUUCUGUUGUUAGGGAAGAACAAGUACCGUGCGAAUAGAGCGGUACCUUGACGGUACCUAACGAGGAAGCCCCGGCUAACUACGUGCCAGCAGCCGCGGUAAUACGUAGGGGGCAAGCGUUGUCCGGAAUUAUUGGGCGUAAAGCGCGCGCAGGCGGUUUCUUAAGUCUGAUGUGAAAGCCCACGGCUCAACCGUGGAGGGUCAUUGGAAACUGGGGAACUUGAGGACAGAAGAGGAGAGUGGAAUUCCACGUGUAGCGGUGAAAUGCGUAGAUAUGUGGAGGAACACCAGUGGCGAAGGCGACUCUCUGGUCUGUUUCUGACGCUGAGGUGCGAAAGCGUGGGUAGCAAACAGGAUUAGAUACCCUGGUAGUCCACGCCGUAAACGAUGAGUGCUAGGUGUUAGGGGGCUUCCACCCCUUAGUGCUGAAGUUAACGCAUUAAGCACUCCGCCUGGGGAGUACGGCCGCAAGGCUGAAACUCAAAGGAAUUGACGGGGGCCCGCACAAGCGGUGGAGCAUGUGGUUUAAUUCGAAGCAACGCGAAGAACCUUACCAGGUCUUGACAUCCUUGGACCGCCCUAGAGAUAGGGUCUUCCCUUCGGGGACCAAGUGACAGGUGGUGCAUGGUUGUCGUCAGCUCGUGUCGUGAGAUGUUGGGUUAAGUCCCGCAACGAGCGCAACCCCUAAUCUUAGUUGCCAGCAUUCAGUUGGGCACUCUAAGGUGACUGCCGGUGACAAACCGGAGGAAGGCGGGGAUGACGUCAAAUCAUCAUGCCCCUUAUGACCUGGGCUACACACGUGCUAC